rnacentral:rRNA from 1 species
CCCUUAGAUGUUCUGGGCCGCACGCGCGCUACACUGACUACUUCAACGAGUUGUUUCCUUGAUCGAAAGGUCUGGGUAAUCUUUGAAAGGUAGUCGUGAUGGGGAUAGAUCCUUGCAAUUUUUGAUCUUCAACGAGGAAUUCCUAGUAAACGCAAGUCAUCAGCUUGCAUUGAUUACGUCCCUGCCCUUUGUACACACCGCCCGUCGCACCUAUCGAUUGAAUGGUCCGGUGAAUCUUUAGGACUGUGGCUGAGGCCUUGCCUUGUGCGGGUCUGGCCGUGGGAAUUUAGUUAAACCUUACCAUUUAGAGGAAGGUGAAGUCGUAACA